rnacentral:tRNA from 1 species
GGGGCUGUAGCUCAGUGGCAGAGCGCUUGCCUAGCAUGCAUGAGGCACUGGGUUCGAUCCUCAGCACCACA